rnacentral:lncRNA from 10 species
GGCUUUGUUGACCGGGAGAAACGAGAUGGGGGUGAAGCUGGAGAUAUUUCGGGUCAGUGGACACAGGAGUGGGUUGGGAGGCUGGGCAGGGGAUCUUCCUGGAUCUGAAGAUGAGGUUGGAAAUGGGGGGACUUCAAAGGAAGAGGGAGCUCCAAGGAGAAAGCUCUUAAGAUUUGAGAGGAACCUUUCUGGUUGGAAAUCCAGGAGAGGGGACGCUGGGCUGGGGGGGUUCUCGGAUUUGGGCUUCUGGGUUUGGGGGCUGUGAGAGGGCUGGUCCGAGGAAGGACCUCAGAGAGGGGUGAGCUGAGAAGGGGGCUCUAAAGAAGGAAGACUUAAGAUCCUGGGGGAGCUCUCGGGCUCGUGGUGGGUGGGUGUCUAUGACAGGGAGAUUCCUAGACUUCGAGAAGUGGAGUUGAAGAGUGACGCCUCCUGGGUUUGGGGGUGCUCCCGGGAUCUUAAGUGGGGAUGGGUAAUGAGGUCUCGAGGAGAUGCUUUUGAUUGUAGCUGGGGCGUCUGUGUGUCUGUCUGUGUUUGAGAGGAAGACUCCAGCUCAGAGGGAACUUUCAGGAAUGAGGCCUCCUGGAUUAUAGGAGUUAGGUUUUAGGGUGCGAGGUUUCUGUACCCUUGGUGGGAGUUCUGGGAUUCUUGGGUCGGCCGUAACGAGGCGCUUCUGGACUCUGCAGUAGGAUGGGUCCCCCAGGCUCUGAGGAGCCUCUGCACAUUGCUUGGGGGGAGCUCACCUCACCCACCCUCUGCCAUUCCAGAUGAUAAUCUACCUCACUUUCCCUGUGGCUAUGUUCUGGGUUUCCAAUCAGGCCGAGUGGUUUGAGGACGAUGUCAUACAGCGCAAGGUGGGCAUAAGAGGAGUGUUUGAGGGUUCAUUCCAGGGGUGGGAGAGGGUGUGGGGCAGCAGUCUGCUGGGGACUAAUGUCUGCCUCCCAUAAGCCGACCCUGCCCUGAUGUGGGGCUCUGGAGGCCUUUGGCUCGUGUCCCAUUUGUGACUUUUCCUUACAGAGGGAGCUGUGGCCACCUGAGAAGGUAAGUGAUCUCUUCUUCCUGCCAGAGGGAUGGAGGAGGCUGGAUUCUUGUAUCCGGGAUGGGUUUUAGAUGAAAAUUUUAGGCCAGGCGCAGUGGCUCAUGCUUGUAAUCCCAGGGCAUGGGAGGCUGAGGUGGGUAGAUCACUUGAGGUCAGGAGUUCAAAACCAGCCUGGCCAACAUGGCGAAACCCCAUGUCUACAGAAAUACAAAACUUAGCCAGGCAUGGUGGCAGGCGCCUAUAAUUCCAGCUGCUUGGGAGGCUGAGGGAGAAGAAUCACUUGAACCCAGGAGGUGGAGGUUGCAGUGAGCCCAAGAUCACGCCACUGCACUCCAGCCUGGGCAAUAGAGUGAGACUUUGUCUCAAAAAGAAACAUUUUACUCUCAGCCAUGAGUAAGGAACCGAGAGCAGAGGAGUAGAUGGUUUCCUUAUUGCCUUCUCCUGGAAGAGUGAAGCGGAUCCCACGCGGACCCCUUUGUAAUUGGCAGGGGGCUUCCAGUGAAGACACUGAACCCUGAAGCCGUGGUCUGGGGCAGGGUGGUGGGAGAGGUGGGCGGGGGGGGGUGGUCCCGGCUCUGAGGUGUGUGCCCCUCCCCCCUUCCUGUCCCACCCGCUUCUCCACCCCUAGCUUCAAGAGAUAGAGGAAUUCAAAGAGAGGUUACGGAAGCGGCGGGAGGAGAAGCUCCUUCGCGACGCCCAGCAGAACUCCUGAGGCCUCCAAGUGGGAGUCCUAGCCCCUCCCCUGAUGAAAUAUACAUAUACUCAGUUCCUUGUUAUUC